rnacentral:rRNA from 1 species
UACGAAGGGGGCUAGCGUUGUUCGGAAUUACUGGGCGUAAAGGGCGCGUAGGCGGCCUCGUCCGUCCGGCGUGAAAUGCCUGGGCUUAACCUAGGAAUUGCGCUCGAUACAGCGAGGCUAGAGUGUGGGAGAGGUUGGUGGAAUUCCCAGUGUAGAGGUGAAAUUCGUAGAUAUUGGGAAGAACACCGGUGGCGAAGGCGGCCAACUGGACCACAACUGACGCUGAGGCGCGAAAGCGUGGGGAGCAAACAGG